AUACUUACCUGGCAGGGGAGAUACCAUGAUCAUGAACAUGAUUUUCCCUGGGCAAGGCGUAUCCAUUGCUCUCCAGAUAGGAUACCCCUGCAGUUUCUCAAGGUUAAGAAACUCAGAAUAAUUUGUGGUAAUAAGGGACUGCUUUCACACUUUCUGG
ensembl:snRNA U1 U1 spliceosomal RNA